rnacentral:tRNA from 1 species
AUUAAACUCAGAAGAUGUUUUUGUUAAACAGGCAAAAAUUAGGUUUGCUUAGUUUAUUA